rnacentral:lncRNA from 1 species
UGAAUAUUGAACAUAAAUGUCUGCUUCAAUUUUAAAAUAUACUUUAAGACUUUAAGAGGUUGAUUUUUUUCAGACUAAAGACAGUGUAAUUAGUGAAAAAGAUGGAUCAUGUUAGUAUAUGAUGCCUAGUCUUUACUAAUUAACAUUCAAAUCAUGCACACUCAUCCAAGCUGCCACACCAUGGGAAGGACCUCUAUCUUUUUUUUUUUUUUUUUACGGCAAACGGCUAUUCUAUUACUCAGAUUUGAGAUGGUCUGGGAAGCAAAACCGGAAUAGAACAACCAAUAAAACAUAAAGAUCUAUGAAAAGAAUGUGCAUUCCUAGCUAACGAAUCUGCAAUCUCAUUUUGCGUCUUUGGAAAGUAGCUGAUCUUGAAGUAGCUGAUCUUGAAAAGGACCUCUAUCUUGUGUCCUAACUUACAUAGAUUUAUACUGUAUAUAAAUUUAAUAUAUAACUUAAUUUUCUUAAUGUUUAUGUUGCUUUGUUGACAUAAAAAAUCUACUAUCUCUUAAACCAACUCCAAAGUUGUUUUAAUUUUUAUUUUUUGCUUCAUUUAAAAAAAAUGGUUUUACUGGUAUUUCAUUUCUCGCUUCAAAAUAAAGUCAUGAACAAGAUUUUUU